rnacentral:rRNA from 1 species
GCGGAGGAUCAUUAUCUAUUCCAUGAGGUGCGGUCGCGGCCCUCGGCGGGAGCAACAGCUGCCGUCGGGCGGUAGAGGUAACACUUUCACGCGCCGCAUGUCUGAAUCCUUUUUUUACGAGCACCUUUCGUUCUCCUUCGGCGGGGCAACCUGCCGUUGGAACCUAUCAAAACCUUUUUUUGCAUCUAGCAUUACCUGUUCUGAUACAAACAAUCGUUACAACUUUCAACAAUGGAUCUCUUGGCUCUGGCAUCGAUGAAGAACGCAGCGAAAUGCGAUAAGUAGUGUGAAUUGCAGAAUUCAGUGAAUCAUCGAAUCUUUGAACGCACAUUGCGCCCCUUGGUAUUCCAUGGGGCAUGCCUGUUCGAGCGUCAUCUACACCCUCAAGCUCUGCUUGGUGUUGGGCGUCUGUCCCGCCUCUGCGCGCGGACUCGCCCCAAAUUCAUUGGCAGCGGUCCUUGCCUCCUCUCGCGCAGCACAUUGCGCUUCUCGAGGUGCGCGGCCCGCGUCCACGAAGCAACAUUACCGUCUUUGACCUCGGAUCAGGUAGGGAUACCCGCUGAACUUAAGCAUAUCAAUA